UGGGGAAUAUUGCACAAUGGGCGCAAGCCUGAUGCAGCCAUGCCGCGUGUAUGAAGAAGGCCUUCGGGUUGUAAAGUACUUUCAGCGGGGAGGAAGGUGUUGUGGUUAAUAACCACAGCAAUUGACGUUACCCGCAGAAGAAGCACCGGCUAACUCCGUGCCAGCAGCCGCGGUAAUACGGAGGGUGCAAGCGUUAAUCGGAAUUACUGGGCGUAAAGCGCACGCAGGCGGUCUGUCAAGUCGGAUGUGAAAUCCCCGGGCUCAACCUGGGAACUGCAUCCGAAACUGGCAGGCUUGAGUCUUGUAGAGGGGGGUAGAAUUCCAGGUGUAGCGGUGAAAAGCGUAGAGAUCUGGAGGAAUACCGGUGGCGAAGGCGGCCCCCUGGACAAAGACUGACGCUCAGGUGCGAAAGCGUGGGGAGCAAACA
rnacentral:rRNA from 1 species